UUUUUUUUUUUUUGUCUUUUUGCCUUUUCUCCGACUACCCCUAGCCUGGGAACUUCCAUAUGCCGAGGGUGCAGCCCUAAAAAGACAAAAGACAAAAAAAAAAAAAAAAAAAAAAGAGAGAGAGAGAGGAGUUCCCAUUGUGUCUCAGUGGUAACAAACCCAACUAGUAUCUAUGAGGACACAGGCUUGAUCUCUGGCCUUGCUCAGUGGGUUAAGGAUUCCGUGUUGCCCUGAUGUAGGUCACAGAUGUGGCUCCAAUCCCACAUUGCUGUGGCCAUGCUGUAGGCCAGCAUCUGCAGCUCCAAUUCGACUCCUAGCCUGGGAACCUUCAUGNGGGGAGGAUGUGAGAGACAGGGAGAGGGAGAGAGAGAAAUGACACAGAGAGACACAAGGAGAGAGAGCGACAAGGAGAGAGAUAUGGAUAAGAGACAGGGAAAGAGGUGGGGAGAGAGAGAGAGAGAUGAGAAAACAGAUCGAGACGAGGAGGGAGACAGAGACAGACACAAGGAAGAGAGCAGCAGAGAUAGAAACAGAGAAACAGGGAGAGAUGGAAGAAACAGACACAGAGAGGGAGAUAGAUGGAGAGAGAUAAAGAGACAGGGAAACAGUAGGAGAGACAGUGUGGGGAGAAUCAGAGAGAGACCUUGGGCCGUUUAAUCCCACUCCCCAGGUCUAGCUUGCAGACCCCUCCCUGCCCCCAACCAGACUGGUUCAGCUCAACAUACAGAUGGGAAAACUGAGGUCCCAAGCUCCCAACCUGCAGUUCCCCGGGUGGUGACACCAGCCAGGGCCUUAAGGAUGGAGAAAUAUUUGUAGGACCCCAAAGACUGAGGAGCAAGGAAUGAAAGGGACGCUGGUUCUUGGUGGGUUUUGGGUUUUGGAACCGGGCUUGUCUUAUAAGAAGAACCCAGCGUCUCAUAUCAGGCCAUGAACAUGACCUUGGGAUUAGCACAGACCUAAUAAGGUCAAGGGGGGAGGGUUGUUGUGGACACGGAGUGAGUGCAACCUGGGUCACUGCGAAUCUGAGGAUGGCCCAGGGACCUCUGUGCCUUCUUGACUGCAGGGUGUGUUUGAAAUUUUCCAUGACACAGAGCAGUUUUAAAUGACCUCUGGGCUCCUGAGGCCGAUCCCAGGCUUGAUGUCCAGGACUGAGGGAAAUCUCAGCUCUUCCUGGAGACUGGCCCAGAGGCGCCAGAGUGGGGGAUGCUGAGAAAACUCAGGGAAUGACCCGAGUCUGAGAUGGAGGCGCCAGACAGCCUCGAGGGGGCGGCUAGGAAUUCUACUCUCCACACCACCCCCCCAUUGAAGGAACAUGCUGUGCACAACCCCACACCUGCCAGAAGAAUGACUCCUUACUCCUGGGGGUGGGUGCUUGCAAAUGACAGAGUGAUCCCCCUCCCACGGGCCAGGCCACCUCCCUGGGAGUUGCUGGGGGAAGCUGGGGCUGGGGAGGGAGGGGCAGCGAGAAGUGAUGACCUGAGGCUUUAAGGGACUUUCGGACCCAUCUCAUUCUGAGUCUGGGGGACAGGGGCCGGCCUUGCUUUGACAUUCCUAAGGAAAUGGGCUGGAAUCAAAAUGACCAGAUCUGGAGAAACACAUCCUUUCACCAGGAAAAAAAAAAAAAAAUCUCUGAAAUUUCCACCUGGAGUGGGAACAGGAGGAUUUAUAGGCCAGGAGCUUAAAAUGAGCUUGACGUGCCUCCCCAAACAAGCAGAGGACUACACCAGCCAUGAGAAAGUGAGUCCAUCUGAACAAAAUGAAACGAAACAAAAUUUAGUAAUAAAGCAGGCAAAAUCAGAAAUACCAGAUAUAGGAAAAAAAAAAAAAAAAAA
rnacentral:lncRNA from 1 species